UACAGAGGUCCCAAGCGUUGUUCGGAAUCACUGGGCGUAAAGGGUGCGUAGGCGGGUCUUUAAGUCAGGGGUGAAAUCCUGGAGCUCAACUCCAGAACUGCCUUUGAUACUGAGGAUCUUGAGUUCGGGAGAGGUGAGUGGAACUGCGAGUGUAGAGGUGAAAUUCGUAGAUAUUCGCAAGAACACCAGUGGCGAAGGCGGCUCACUGGCCCGAUACUGACGCUGAGGCACGAAAGCGUGGGGAGCAAACAGGG
rnacentral:rRNA from 1 species